GCGGAAGGAUCAUUACCGAGUUAGGGUCUCCUUCGUGAGGCCCGACCUCCCAACCCUGUGUCUAACAAACCUGUAUGUGUUGCUUCGGCGGAACGGCAGUCACCCCUCCGGGGGAGACCGUCGCCGGGGGCGUCCAGCCCUUGGAGAGCGUCCGCCGAUGGCCCAACCAAACAAACUCCCAAACCAAAUAAUAGUACCUAAAACUUCUGAAUCAGACUUUUGAUAUACCAAUCAAAAACAAAACUUUCAACAACGGAUCUCUUGGUUCUGGCAUCGAUGAAGAACGCAGCGAAAUGCGAUAAGUAAUGCGAAUUGCAGAAUUUCCGUGAGUCAUCGAAUCUUUGAACGCACAUUGCGCCCUUUGGCAUUCCGAAGGGCAUGCCUGUUCGAGCGUCAUUAUCCUCUCUCAAACCUCGUGUUUGGUGUUGGACCGCGUUGGACCGCCUCCAUGGCCAACUGGUCUCAAAGACAAUGACGGCGUCCCAGGGACCCUCUUCGCACUGAGUUCUCCGGAGCACGCGUAGAGUUUCAAGGCCCCCGGGACCCGGUCACCUUUAUAUUUUUCUAGGUUGACCUCGGAUCAGGUAGGAAUACCCGCUGAA
rnacentral:rRNA from 1 species